rnacentral:rRNA from 1 species
UGAGGGAAUUUUCCACAAUGGACGAAAGUCUUGAUGGAGCAACGCCGCGUGAACGAUGAAGGUCUUCGGAUUGUAAAGUUCUGUUGUCAGAGACGAACAAGUACCGUUCGAACAGGGCGGUACCUUGACGGUACCUGACGAGAAAGCCACGGCUAACUACGUG